rnacentral:rRNA from 1 species
ACAGCAGUCGCCACGGUAAUACGGAGGGUGCAAGCGUUAAUCGGAAUUACUGGGCGUAAAGCGUGCGUAGGCGGUUCGUUAAGUCUGUUGUGAAAGCCCCGGGCUCAACCUGGGAAUGGCAAUGGAUACUGGCGAGCUAGAGUGUGUCAGAGGAUGGUGGAAUUCCCGGUGUAGCGGUGAAAUGCGUAGAGAUCGGGAGGAACAUCAGUGGCGAAGGCGGCCAUCUGGGACAACACUGACGCUGAGGCACGAAAGCGUGGGGAGCAAACAGGAUUAGAUACCCCAGUAGUCCCUGUCUCUUAUAC